rnacentral:rRNA from 1 species
GAUACUGGCGGACGGGUGAGUAACACGUGGGUAACCUGCCUGUAAGACUGGGAUAACUCCGGGAACCGGGGCUAAUACCGGAUGCUUGUUGAACCGCAUGGUUCAAACAUAAAAGGUGGCUUCGGCUACCACUUACAGAUGGACCCGCGGCGCAUUAGCUAGUUGGUGAGGUAAUGGCUCACCAAGGCAACGAUGCGUAGCCGACCUGAGAGGGUGAUCGGCCACACUGGGACUGAGACACGGCCCAGACUCCUACGGGAGGCAGCAGUAGGGAAUCUUCCGCAAUGGACGAAAAGUCUGACGGAGCAACGCCGCGUGAGUGAUGAAGGUUUUCGGAUCGUAAAGCUCUGUUGUUAGGGAAGAACAAGUACCGUUCGAAUAGGGCGUACCUUGACGGUACCUAACCAGAAAAGCCACGGCUAACUAACGUGCCAGCAGCCGCGGUAAUACG